rnacentral:rRNA from 1 species
AUUGAACGCUGGCGGCAUGCCUUACACAUGCAAGUCGAACGGCAGCACGGGUGCUUGCACCUGGUAGCGAGUGGCGAACGGGUGAGUAAUACAUCGGAACAUGUCCUGUAGUGGGGGAUAGCCCGGCGGAAGCCGGAUUAAUACCGCAUACGAUCCACGGAUGAAAGCGGGGGACCUUCGGGCCUCGCGCUAUAGGGUUGGCCGAUGGCUGAUUAGCUAGUUGGUGGGGUAAAGGCCUACCAAGGCGACGAUCAGUAGCUGGUCUGAGAGGACGACCAGCCACACUGGGACUGAGACACGGCCCAGACUCCUACGGGAGGCAGCAGUGGGGAAUUUUGGACAAUGGGCGAAAGCCUGAUCCAGCAAUGCCGCGUGUGUGAAGAAGGCCUUCGGGUUGUAAAGCACUUUUGUCCGGAAAGAAAUCCUUGGCUCUAAUACAGUCGGGGGAUGACGGUACCGGAAGAAUAAGCACCGGCUAACUACGUG